GACGAACGCUGGCGGCGUGCUUAACACAUGCAAGUCGAACGAUGAAGCCUAGCUUGCUUGGUGGGUUAGUGGCGAACUGGUGAGUAAUACGUGAGUAACCUACCUUUAACUCUGGGAUAAGCCCGGGAAACUGGGUCUAAUACCGGAUACGACCAAUCUCCGCAUGGGGUGUUGGUGGAAAGCGUUAUGUAGUGGUUAUAGAUGGGCUCACGGCGUAUCAGCUUGUUGGUGAGGUAACGGAUCACCAAGGCGACGACGGGUAGCCGGCCUGAGAGGGUGACCGGACACACUGGGACUGAGACACGGCCCAGACUCCUACGGGAGGCAGCAGUGGGGAAGAUUGCACAAUGGGCGCAAGCCUGAUGCAGCGACGCCGCGUGAGGGAUGAUGGCCUUCGGGUUGUAAACCUCUGUUAGCAGGGAAGAAGAGAGAUUGACGGUACCUGCAGAGAAAGCGCCGGCUAACUACGUG
rnacentral:rRNA from 1 species